GGGGACGUUACGGAUUCGACAGGGGUCGUCUGAGCUUGAGUUGCGCGUCGGAGGGCUCGGCUCCGUCAGAAACGGCAGUUUAUAAUAACUGGCAAAACAAACAACAACUUAGCAUUCGCAGCUUAAUAGCUGACUGAAUCUGCCUUUCAAUUCCAUUGCCCACGUGGCAUUGUAAGGCUCAACUUUAGUGGGAUACGCCGGCUGUUGCCUCCUGAGGCAGACGGAAGAGAUUCGCAGGAUAGCGUACAAGACGCCCUGAUUGUCGGCAUAAUGCUACGCGAAUCGCAAAUAGACGAUCUACACGCGUAGAUGCUUGAGUGUUGGAGCCUCUGGACGCGGGUUCGACUCCCGCCGUCUCCAUAA
rnacentral:tmRNA from 1 species